CACUGAUAUUGGUGUGGUUUUUUUUUAUUGAUUUUGUGUAUUUGUAACAAAGUAAUGUUGCGUCCGGUGAAAAAUGCGUUUGUAAUUUAGGAGUCUACCAGUCUAAGAUGGUAAUUACAUCGUCCAUUUGUACGAAACGAGAAGCAGUUUUAAAUACGUCCUGGCAAAGGGUCAGGUCAAGAGUACCCGAAACCGCCGAGCUUGCAUGAAGAGAGUUAUGAAUAUGGAUUAAGCGAAAGGAGUAUGCAGAGAUAGUGGCAAGUAAAAAGAUGUAGUCUCUGCUUACCCCUCCGGGAAAAAGGUACGGAACCCUAAAAAGAGAAACAACACGGAGUCUUCUUGCUACUUCUUAAGAACAAAAAAAUUUCAAAUCUAUGCUAAUAUUAUAAAGCUGAAGAGUUUGUUUGUUUGAACGCGCUAAUCUCAGGAAUUCCUGGUUCGAAUUAAAAAAAUAUUUUUGUGUUGAAUAGACCAUUUUUCGAGGAAGGCUUUAGGCUAUAUAACAUCACGCUGCAACUAUUAGGAGUGAAGAAAUAAUUGAAAAUGUGAAAAAAAUGGGGAAAAUUAUUCAUCCUUGAGGGCUUCAAUGAAGCCCAAAAUAACUGUUCCACGCGGACGAAGUCGUUGGCACAGUUAGUUUUAGAAUAAAUUAAAUUAUUUGUUCUAAGUUUAUCUCCGGUAGGUAUUGUUUGCAGAACAAUGUCACAUUUUUAUUAAACACAAAAAGAAAAAUAAUAUUUACCUUUCUUACUGCUCGUCUCAAAAGGAACAAAAAAAGUCUUAUCGUUCACAAAUAAAAAGUUAAAAAAGGUCUUUAAUAAGCACAAUUAAGAGAUAAGACACAACCGUCUUGUGUUUUUGUGGCUUUGAUAAUGAAUCUGAGAGCCCUAAUCAAAUAGUGCAAUCAGGUGUAGUUUUAAGAGAUUUGAUUAAACGGACGGAUGUAAAAGACUGUCUCUGCAGCUUUGGUUUUAAGAAGUAUAGACGCAAAGUUUGUUAUUCACUACAAAAGACAUAAGGAGAAAAGAGAAGAGAAAUAUUAGGUUUAAAAGUAGUAUAAUUUAUUUAUUUAUUUAAAAUUUUAUUGAAUUUUAUUUAAAAAAAGAAGUACAAAAGGCGGACUUAAUGCCGUUUGGCAUUUUCUACCAGUCAACCAGCUGACCAAACAGAAAAACUUUAUAAUGUUGGAUCUCGGUAAAAACUAUGGUUCUCGUGGGAUUUGCGAAAAACCUGAAUUCUUCUAUAGGUGGCGCUAAAUUCGUCGCUUUUUGUAGGUGUCGUCGUUUAAUACUUUUUAAGUAGUGCUAAUUUUUUUUUGGAAGAUGGCGUUAGUCUUUAUCCCUUGCGGGGUAGACAGAGCCAGCAGUCUUGAAA